GGCUUAACACAUGCAAGUCGAACGGUAGCAGGAGGAAGCUUGCUUUCUUGCUGACGAGUGGCGGACGGGUGAGUAAUGCUUGGGAAUCUGGCUUAUGGAGGGGGAUAACGACGGGAAACUGUCGCUAAUACCGCGUAGUAUCGGAAGAUGAAAGUGCGGGACUGUAAGGCCGCAUGCCAUGAGAUGAGCCUAAGUGGGAUUAGGUAGUUGGUGGGGUAAAGGCCUACCAAGCCUGCGAUCUCUAGCUGGUCUGAGAGGAUGACCAGCCACACUGGAACUGAGACACGGUCCAGACUCCUACGGGAGGCAGCAGUGGGGAAUAUUGCGCAAUGGGGGCAACCCUGACGCAGCCAUGCCGCGUGAAUGAAGAAGGCCUUCGGGUUGUAAAGUUCUUUCGGUAUUGAGGAAGGUUGAUGUGUUAAUAGUACAUCAAAUUGACGUUAAAUACAGAAGAAGCACCGGCUAACUCCGUGCCAGCAGCCGCGGUAAUACGGAGGGUGCGAGCGUUAAUCGGAAUAACUGGGCGUAAAGGGCACGCAGGCGGUUAUUUAAGUGAGGUGUGAAAGCCCCGGGCUUAACCUGGGAAUUGCAUUUCAGACUGGGUAACUAGAGUACUUUAGGGAGGGGUAGAAUUCCACGUGUAGCGGUGAAAUGCGUAGAGAUGUGGAGGAAUACCGAAGGCGAAGGCAGCCCCUUGGGAAUGUACUGACGCUCAUGUGCGAAAGCGUGGGGAGCAAACAGGGUUAGAUACCCUGGUAGUCCACGCUGUAAACGCUGUCGAUUUGGGGGUUGGGGUUUAACUCUGGCGCUCGUAGCUAACGUGAUAAAUCGACCGCCUGGGGAGUAC
rnacentral:rRNA from 1 species